AUUUUUGUGUGUGUGGUUUUGUCAUCCACAGUUCAUGGCAUAAAAAGAAUGGUGACGUUUCUAACUACAUCAAUGACUUUGCUGCACAUUUGAGGAAUACGAUGAGGGGACUUAACACAGGAAUGAGCCAAGCUCUUCUUGUCAGCAACCCACUUGCUACUAUCCAAGCUCUAGCAGCCAGUGGUGGCCAGCUGCCCAUUUCCAGUCUUGAGGGCAGCAGCAAGGUGUUAAUUGGGGGUUCUGGAGGCCAAGGAGCAGGUCUCCCCUCUUCCCUCUUUCUCAACCACUCCUCUUUGUUGCCCAUGGCAACAGGCACCGGCAUGGGAUUGGGCAGUUCAGUUCUUGCCAGAACCUCAUUUCCUGUCACAGGCGGCAUGAGUCCCUCCCCUUGCUCGAGCCCCAUCUCUUCCUGCUCUUCCGGUGAUUUGCUACACAGCCCACACUCGAUUGGAGGGGCUAAAAUCGAGUGACGUUGCCCAAGGCCAAUCACAGGAGGAGGAGAAGGAGGAGAUGAAACCUUACCUGUCAACCAAAGCAUCUCUUGAUCCCCUC
rnacentral:lncRNA from 1 species